AUACCGGAUGGCUGCUUCGGCAGUACAGAGUCUUGGUGGAUCAAUACACGGAGGGAGAUUCCAAAGAGGGCCAGACGAAAUUUUGACACUAUAACCAUCCUGAUCCAUUGGAGAAUUUGGAAAGAAAGAAAUGCAAGGAUUUUUGAGCAAGUGGCCAGUAAUGUUGACAGGAUACUUGAGCUUAUCAGGGAGGACAUCGCUGUUUGGAGAGCUGCCCGUUGUGUAGGCGACUUCUACUGA
rnacentral:rRNA from 1 species